GUCUACGGCCGCGCCACCCUGAACGAGCCCGAUGUCCGAUCUCGGAAGCUGAGCAGGGUCGGGCCUGGUUAGUACUUGGGUGGGAGACCACCUAGGAAGACCGGGUGUUGUAGGUG
rnacentral:rRNA from 1 species